CUGAUCUCUCGGUCCACAAAGAGUGAUUUUCUUCCCUAAGAAUUGGACGUGGGUUCUGCCCAUUGUGUCUACCUGGCUGUGCAGCCUGGCAGGAAGCAGGUGGCCCAAGGUGGGACCUGGCUGCCGUGGGUCCCCAUCCCAGUGCCACCCUGCCCCCUGGACGAGAAGCCUGGCAGUGGCCCCCGAGAGUUCGCACGUUUUUCUGUAACAGACCUGAGAGUAGAGGCAGGUGAUGUGAUCCGAGGUGCAAGCGCAGUCCUGCCUCCCAACCAGGUGAGUUUCUUGGCUGCCCUGGGCCUCAAUUUCCUCACCUCUAAAGGGUGGACGCUGAUGCUACCUACCUCACAGGUACAUUUUGAAGGUCAGGUGUAGGUGAAAUGAUGCAUUAGAAGCCCAGUGAAGGCCCAGGGAUGGGAACAAUUGUGGCUUUACAGUAUAAUCCUACAAAUUCUAGAAGUUACAGGAUUAUAGGCUGAAUUAUGUCCCCAAAACAUUCAUCUGUUGACGUCCUAACCCCUAGGAGCUCAGAAUGUGAAAGGAUUUGGAGACAGGGGUCUUUACAAGGGUAAUUACAUGAAAAUGAAGUCCCUAGGGUGGACCCUAAUCCCAUGUGACUGGUGUCCUUAAAAGAAGAGUUGGUUAGGACGCAGACGCACAUGGAGGGAAGACCACCUGAGGACACAGGGAGAAGACGGCAUCUCCAAGCCAAGGAGGGAGCCUCGAAAGGAACCAUCCCUGCCGACACCCUGACCUUGGACUUCCAGCCUCCGAACGGUGAGAAAAUAACUUCUGUUGUUUAAGCCUCCAGCCCUUGGUCCUCUGUGAUGGCCGCCCACGUGAACUGACCACAGGUCCUUAACUGGAAUAUCGGUGUCACCGUUGUUCAUUGUCUGAAUCUCCACCCUGAGGUCCUUACCAUCUAAGCACGCUGCUGAGAGAGCUCGUCUGAGCAGGACACGGCCCCGGCCCCCUUCCCACUCCUGGAGCCCCUCAUCUUCCCAGGGGCCCUGCUCUCCUUCUUCCCAGGACCGUCUCUCCCAGGUGACGGCUCUCGACGCCCCUGGAGGGAAUUUGCUCCUUCCCCCUUCGGGAGCCUCACUCUGCCGUUUCCCGCCCAAGAUGCCCCUCUGGAGGGCACAUCUGCCCUUCAAGGAGGUGGAUUUAAAACUCUCCAAAUACCAACAGGAGACUGUGUUCGAGACUGCUCCACUGGGAUCACCAACACGAUGGUCUCUUAGGGUGGGUUUUUUUUUUUAAUAUCUAACUUUAUUUAUUUAUUCUUAACUUUGAAAAUGUUUGGUGUGGUAAGAACACUUCACAUGAGAUCUACCCACUUAACAAAAUUUUGUUUUUGUUUUUGAUUUUGUUUCUUUGGCUGCACUGCACAGCUUGUGGGAUCUUAGCUCCCUGACCAGGGAUUGAACUCGGGCCCCGGCAGUGAAAGCUCUGAGUCCUAACCACUGGACCACCAGGGGAUUCCCAGCAAAAUUUUAAGUCUAUAAUCCAUCAUUGUUUUUUUAAAUUUAUUUUAAUUUUUAUUGACGUAGAGUUGAUUUACAAUGUUGUGUUACUUUCUGCUGUACAACAAAGUGCUUCAGUUAUAUAUAUAUAUUCUUUUCCAUUAUGGUCUGUUAUAGGAUAUUGGAUAUAGUUCCCUGUGCUCUACAGUAGGUCCUUGUUGUUGUUUAUCUAUUUUUAUCUAUAGUAGUUUGUAUCUGUUAAUCUCAAACUCCUAAUUUACUCCUCCACCACCCCCCUCCCCCUCGGCAACCACAAGUCUGUUCUCUAUGUCUGUAAGUCUGUCUCUGUUUCGUAAAUAAAGUCAUUGGUGUCGAUA